UUGCAUAGAAACGGUAUAUUAAAUAAAUAUACUGAGAUAGAUAAUAAUUUUUCUCAUAUAUUUUUAUAUCCGAAUCAGUCUGGAUUAAAUAUAUGAUAUAUUUUAUUUUACUUUAAAAAUCAGAAUUGUUCCAAGAUAAGCUAAAAUUGUUGGUUCAACACGGCACAAACAUAAGUUUAACAAAUCAUUUUGCAAAUGGACAUGUAUACGUGCAUUUAUUUUCUUGCAUCAUCAAAAAUGGAAACUUUAAGAUGCUCAAUUGGCUCUUCUCCAAUGGUGUUGACAUUAAUAUUAAAACAAAAGAGAAUGUGACAUUGCUGUUUUUUGCCGUGGAUAGUUAUUCAUCGCAUCCAGAUUAUAAAAAAGUGCUUCAACUUCUGAUUGAUCGUGGUGCUGAUGUCAAUGCAAGAGAAAGGACUAACACUACCCCACUACAUUUGGCCGCCAGAGAGCGUAAUAUCGAUGCGGCUCAAGUUUUUCUUUCAAACGGCGCUGACGUGAAUGCGAAAGAUAAGUGGGGAGUCACUGCUCUUUAUAUUGCCGCAACAUCGGGUCCGUCAAACAACAAAGAUAUGGUACAAAUUUUGCUCGAUCAUGGUGCCGAUCCGUACAUUCCAACAAACGAAGGGAGUACAGCACUCGGAACAGCAUUUGAAUGGCUCGAUUCAAACAAAAUGGAUAUUCUAUUAAUGUUCAUUGAGAAGUGUGCAAGUCUUCAAACUUUUCACAACACAAAAUUCAGAUUUGUUGCGAUGCCGAUCGAAAAUGCUGCAAAUUGCACUGCCAUAAAUGCAACGAAGACAUCGUCACAACAUCCGGUCGUAAGAAGCAUUUCGUUGAGAGAACUCAUAGGAAUAAUAUCGUGUCCGAAUUUGAUUGCAGACAGAUAUAGUGUGCUCAACUGCUCAUUGGUCAUAUAAUAUUUUAUUAUGUUUUGGAUUGUACAGUUUUUUCGAGUUGAUGACAAGCGACGUGAGACUCUUUACAUCAUCCACAGUGUAUUCCAAAAACGAGAAAUGAACUUCUUGGACAAACAUCCAAAACGUUUCCGAUUUUGAAUGGAAAUUAUCUAAGUUAUCAUCUUUAAAUAUCAUUAGCGCUGGAGUAUGCAAUCUGAUUAUUGAGUCCGGGAUAUCGUUUAGACCAUAAAAUUCCUCAGUCGUUCGUUGUAGCACACUUAACUGAAAUUUAAUAAAAUUAUUCGUUUCACCUAGUUUUAGACUUUGUUUUCUACUUAAUAUUUGUUGACUGACCGAACCAGAGUCAACAAGAAACUUUUUUGGUGCUCUGCAUAGCUGGCGCAUUUGAAAAUUAAAACCUAAAAUUUUAAUAUACUGACCGUAAAAGCGCGAUGAUUGGCAUGCAUGAUUUUGAAUAUUUCCAUAAGAGACAAAAUCGUACCAAGACUGUCUCUGAAUUGAAAACUCUUAUCGAUGCCAUAUUCCACAAU